rnacentral:rRNA from 1 species
UCAGCCGCCGCGGUAAAACCAGCACCUCAAGUGGUCAGGAGGAUUAUUGGGCCUAAAGCAUCCGUAGCCGGCUCUGUAAGUUUUCGGUUAAAUCUAUGUGCUUAACAUAUGGGCUGCCGAGAAUACUGCAAAGCUAGGGAGUGGGAGAGGUAGACGGUACUCCGUAGGAAGGGGUAAAAUCCUUUGAUCUAUGGAUGACCACCUGUGGCGAAGGCGGUCUACCAGAACACGUCCGACGGUGAGGGAUGAAAGCUGGGGGAGCAAACCGGAUUAGAUACCCGGGUAGUCCCAGCUGUAAACGAUGCAAACUCAGUGAUGCAUUGGCUUGUGGCCAGUGCAGUGCCGCAGGGAAGCCGUUAAGUUUGCCGCCUGGGAAGUACGUACGC